rnacentral:rRNA from 1 species
CAGCAGCCGCGGUAAAACGUAGGGUGCAAGCGUUAAUCGGAAUUACUGGGCGUAAAGCGUGCGCAGGCGGUUAUAUAAGACAGAUGUGAAAUCCCCGGGCUCAACCUGGGAACUGCAUUUGUGACUGUAUAGCUAGAGUACGGCAGAGGGGGAUGGAAUUCCGCGUGUAGCAGUGAAAUGCGUAGAUAUGCGGAGGAACACCGAUGGCGAAGGCAAUCCCCUGGGCCUGUACUGACGCUCAUGCACGAAAGCGUGGGGAGCAAACAGGAUUAGAUACCCGCGUAGUCCCUGUCUCUUAUAU